rnacentral:rRNA from 1 species
CCUACGGGGUGCAGCAGUGGGGAAUAUUGGACAAUGGGCGAAAGCCUGAUCCAGCCAUGCCGCGUGUGUGAAGAAGGCCUUCGGGUUGUAAAGCACUUUCAGUGGGGAAGAAAGCCUUGGGGCUAAUACCCUCGAGGAAGGACAUCACCCACAGAAGAAGCACCGGCUAACUCCGUGCCAGCAGCCGCGGUAAUACGGAGGGUGCGAGCGUUAAUCGGAAUUACUGGGCGUAAAGCGCGCGUAGGCGGUCUGAUAAGCCGGUUGUGAAAGCCCCGGGCUCAACCUGGGAACGGCAUCCGGAACUGUCAGGCUAGAGUGCAGGAGAGGAAGGUAGAAUUCCCGGUGUAGCGGUGAAAUGCGUAGAGAUCGGGAGGAAUACCAGUGGCGAAGGUGGCCUUCUGGACUGACACUGACGCUGAGGUGCGAAAGCGUGGGUAGCAAACAGGAUUAGAUACCCCUGUAGUC